rnacentral:lncRNA from 1 species
UUCAACGAGAGAGUAAGGAAGAAGAAAAGAGGGUUUCAAAAAGAAGAUGAAGAGAUGAGAAAAGUGAACAAGAUGAAGUUUAUAGUGGUUCAACACAUAGCCUACAUCCACUCCUUAAAGGGUAAAAAAUCCUUUUAUUCAACAUUCAUUUAGAAAGUAGAUUCAAGAUAUGAACAUAUUUUUCAUUCUACAUCUCCAUGAAUUUAUUCGGUAUAUUUUCUACUUGAGGCUACAACACUUUUAUUAUGUUCUAAAAAAAAGUAGUUGUAACUAAUUUUUUUCAUUUCUUUAACAAGUGGAGAGAUGGAAGCCCUCUUAGAGAAUUUGGUUCAUCAACAAAUUUCAACAACAUCCACAUAAAGGUUAUUUAUUUGUUCAUCAAUCCAGAUAGAACCAAUCAAUCAAGAUUGGUUCAUCUUAAUUUCAGUUUGUUCAAUUUAUUUAUUUGUUUAUUAUUUUGUUCCCUUUUAUUAAUCUCAUCAUGAAAUUCUACACAUCAAAAUAUUUUAUUUUUAACUAUUUAUGUAUAAGUUUUUCUUUGGAUUCAAAUAUGUGAAUGCUCUAAACAAGUAGAAAAAGCUUAAUAUGUAAAGGAAAGUGA